GAUGAACGCUGGCGGCGUGCCUAACACAUGCAAGUCGAGCGGAGAUUCUGAAGUAGUAAUACGGAAGGAUCUUAGCGGCGGACGGGUGAGUAACACGUGAGUAAUCUGCCUUCUGCAGGGGAAUAACAUUGUGAAAACAGUGCUAAUACCGCAUGACAUAGCACCGGGGCAUCCCGGAGCUAUCAAAGGAGAAAUCCGGCAGAAGAUGAACUCGCGUCCGAUUAGCUAGUUGGCGGGGUAAUGGCCCACCAAGGCGACGAUCGGUAGUCGAACUGAGAGGUUGAUCGGCCACAUUGGGACUGAGACACGGCCCAGACUCCUACGGGAGGCAGCAGUGGGGAAUAUUGGGCAAUGGGGGAAACCCUGACCCAGCAACGCCGCGUGAAGGACGAAGGCCUUCGGGUUGUAAACUUCUUUGAUCAGGGACGAAUAAAUGACGGUACCUGAAGAACAAGCCACGGCUAACUACGUGCCAGCCGCCGCGGUAAUAC
rnacentral:rRNA from 1 species